GACGAACGCUGGCGGCGUGCUUAACACAUGCAAGUCGAACGGAAAGGCCCUGCUUUUGUGGGGUGCUCGAGUGGCGAACGGGUGAGUAACACGUGAGUAACCUGCCCUUGACUUUGGGAUAACUUCAGGAAACUGGGGCUAAUACCGGAUAGGAGCUCCUGCUGCAUGGUGGGGGUUGGAAAGUUUCGGCGGUUGGGGAUGGACUCGCGGCUUAUCAGCUUGUUGGUGGGGUAGUGGCUUACCAAGGCUUUGACGGGUAGCCGGCCUGAGAGGGUGACCGGCCACAUUGGGACUGAGAUACGGCCCAGAUUCCUACGGGAGGCAGCAGUGGGGAAUAUUGCACAAUGGGCGGAAGCCUGAUGCAGCAACGCCGUGUGCGGGAUGACGGCCUUCGGGUUGUAAACCGCUUUCGCCUGUGACGAAGCGUGAGUGACGGUAAUGGGUAAAGAAGCACCGGCUAACUACGUG
rnacentral:rRNA from 1 species